ACUCCUACGGGAGGCAGCAGUGGGGAAUAUUGGGCAAUGGGCGAAAGCCUGACCCAGCAACGCCGCGUGAAGGAAGAAGGUUUUCGGAUCGUAAACUUCUAUCCCGAGUGAAGAUAAUGACGGUAACUCGGAAGGAAGCCCCGGCUAACUACGUGCCAGCAGCCGCGGUAAUACGUAGGGGCAAGCGUUGUCCGGAAUGAUUGGGCGUAAAGGGCGCGUAGGCGGCCUUUUAAGUCCGAUGUGAAAGUCCUGCUUUUAAGGUGGGAAUUGCAUUGGAAACUGGAAGGCUUGAGUGCAGGAGAGGUAAGUGGAAUUCCCGGUGUAGCGGUGAAAUGCGUAGAGAUCGGGAGGAACACCAGUGGCGAAGGCGACUUACUGGACUGUAACUGACGCUGAGGCGCGAAAGUGUGGGGAGCAAACAGGAUUAGAUACCCUGGUAGGCUCUGC
rnacentral:rRNA from 1 species